rnacentral:rRNA from 1 species
AUUGAACGCUGGCGGCAUGCCUUACACAUGCAAGUCGAACGGUAACAGCACUUCGGUGGCUGACGAGUGGCGAACGGGUGAGUAAUACAUCGGAACGUGCCCGAGAGUGGGGGAUAACGCAGCGAAAGCUGUGCUAAUACCGCAUACGAUCUACGGAUGAAAGCAGGGGAUUCGCAAGGACCUUGCGCUCAUGGAGCGGCCGAUGGCAGAUUAGGUAGUUGGUGGGAUAAAAGCUUACCAAGCCGACGAUCUGUAGCUGGUCUGAGAGGACGACCAGCCACACUGGGACUGAGACACGGCCCAGACUCCUACGGGAGGCAGCAGUGGGGAAUUUUGGACAAUGGGCGAAAGCCUGAUCCAGCCAUGCCGCGUGCAGGAUGAAGGCCUUCGG